ACGGUAGCCCAGGAAUAAGCCUCGGCUAACUACGUGCCAGCAGCCGCGGUAAAACGUAGGAGGCGAGCGUUAUCCGGAUUUACUGGGCGUAAAGCGCGUGCAGGCGGUUUGGUAAGUUGGAUGUGAAAUCUCCCGGCUUAACUGGGAGGGGUCAUUCAAUACUGCCAGACUUGAGGGCGGAAGAGGGGAGUGGAAUUUCCGGUGUAGUGGUGAAAUGCGUAGAUAUCGGAAGGAACACCAGUGGCGAAGGCGGCUCCCUGGUCCGUGCCUGACGCUAAGACGCGAAAGCUAGGGGAGCGAAUGGGAUUAGAAACCCCAGUAGUCCUAGCCGUAAACGUUGGAUACUAGGUGUAGGGAGUAUUGACCCUCUCUGUGCCGAAGCUAACGCGUUAAGUAUCCCGCCUGGGGACUACGGCCGCAAGGUUAAAACUCAAAGGAAUUGACGGGGACCCGCACAAGCAGCGGAGCGUGUGGUUUAAUUCGAUGCAACACGAAGAACCUUACCAGGGUUUGACAUGUAGGUAGUAGUGAAGCGAAAGCGGAACGAUCCUUCGGGAAGCCUGCGCAGGUGCUGCAUGGCUGUCGUCAGCUCGUGCCGUGAGGUGUUAGGUUAAGUCCUGUAACGAGCGCAACCCUUGCCGUUAGUUAUACGUGUCUAACGGGACUGCCGGUGUAAACCGGAGGAAGGUGGGGAUGACGUCAAGUCAGCAUGGCCUUUAUGUCCUGGGCUACACACACGCUACAAUGGCCGGUACAAUGGGUCGCCAAGCCGCGAGGCGGAGCUAAUCCUCUAAAGCCGGUCUCAGUUCGAAUUGCAGGCUGCAACUCGCCUGCAUGAAGCUGGAGUUGCUAGUAACCGCGCGUCAGCAAUAGUGCGGUGAAUACGUUCCCGGGUCUUGUACACACCGCCCGUCACGUCAUGAAAGCUGGUAACACCUGAAGCCGGUGGGCUAACCGAAAGGAGGCAGCCGUCGAAGGUGGGACUGGUGAUUGGGACGAAGUCGUAACAAGGUAACC
rnacentral:rRNA from 1 species